AUGCAGCCAACGGCAUUGCAUUGCGCCCCGGAGAGCGAUCAUCGCGGCCACGACAGGGUACCAUCAUUGCAUUGGAUGCAAAACAUCAUACCACAAGAAAGAAAAGGCCGGCCGGCCCCAGAACAGGGAAGAAAGCGGCCCAAUAGCUUCCGUCCCAUCCAUGCUUUAACCACCUCUUUAUUUUACUGUAUGUGGCAUGUCACUUUGCCCUUCACCAAUCAACCAAAGUCCAAAGUGGUUUUGGGUGGGUCUAACCUGUCAGAAGCGAGGUCCUCCUCUAGUGAAGAACUCCAGCAAAACAGAACAAACUUUCUGGUGGCUGGCAAUUGCUUCCUAGGAGGGCCUAUGAAGGCCAGACAUUACAGGACUAAUACAGCAGCAGCAGCAGCAGCUGAGUAG
rnacentral:rRNA from 1 species